rnacentral:snRNA from 1 species
ACAGUUAAAUUGCAUGUACUAAAACUGGAAUGAUACAGUGAAGAUUAGCAUGGCAUCUGAUCAAGGAUAAAACACAGAUUCCUCAUGGGAAACAUCAAAGG